UUUUGCUGGAAAAUUUCCUAGCCAUGAAACCCAUAAGCCCAUGUGUUGAAAUAUUUCUUGUGGCCAAGAAUUCUUCUUUGGAUCGUGAGCCUCUACCUCUCGCUCGUGUGUGUGUUUGAUGAAGUUCCAAGUCUUAUGUACAUCAUGCAGUUCCAUGAUCAAGAGCUGUUCCUCAGGAGUGAUGUUGCCUCUCCGGACGUCGGGUCGCAGAUAGUUCAGCCACCGGAGCCGACAACUCUUCCCGCAAAAUCAAAACAACACCGACAACAAAGCAAGAAUUAUCCGAAUAGGAGUUUACCUUGCGAAUCAAAUUCCAUAGAGAAGAGCAGGCCAUGAAGAACAGCAAGUGAGGAAAAGAUAGGCCCUUGAAGUUUGAAAAAGCCCAUGAAGAUUCGCCAUUCCAAUCACCUGGAUACAAAAUCUGAUGACAUUUAUCUAAGUUGUAUUCUGUUAUGUUCAAUUUAAGAGCCUACAACUAAUAAUUUUGCUUUAAUAGGUGGAUUUUGAAUUGCAAUUAGUUUAAGUGAUUGGGUUUUCCGGUUUUGUCGGUGCUUGAAACAAUUUUCGUCUUCUUCAUAUCAAUAUAUCUCUAGAGACCGAUAAUUGUAUAAGAAGAAAAAAUGACUCCAAUUACGCCCUAAGUUUUUUUCAUUAA